rnacentral:rRNA from 1 species
CAUGAGCUUCUCAAGCCUUAUNUUUCCAAGUCCUACCAUCNUAANCGUAANCCNGCACACGAUUGCCGAACAGGUGAAUAAUACAUCGGAACUUGCCCUAUCUUGGGGGAUAACGAGGCGAAUCUUUCCUAAUACCGCAUACGAUCUACUGC